GUGCACCCUUCUUUGUGCUCGGGUUAGGAGGAGCUAGGCUGCCAUCGGGCCGGUGCAGAUACGGGGUUGCUCUUUUGCUCAUAAGAGGGGCUUCGCUGGCAGUCUGAACGGCAAGCUUGAGUCAGGACCCUUAAUUAAGAUCCUCAAUUGGCUGGAGGGCAGAUCUCGCGAGUAGGGUACAAGGCACUAUGAAAUGAUCUAGUUUCGUGGGUGAGGGGCUGAAGGGCCUAUGAUGCACGGAGGCGGGGAAAGGAUUUAGAGAUAACGUGGUUUGAAAGGCGGGACCUGGUGCGGGGACGCUCUUGGGAGGAGUCUUCUCCCCAGCCUUAGCUGGUUUCAUGAUUUCUUUGCGUCUGUAGGCAACGCGGUAAAAAUAUUGCUUCGGUGGGUGACGCGGUACAGCUGCCCAAGGGCGUUCGUAACGGGAAUGCCGAAGCGUGGGAAAAAGGGAGCGGUGGCGGAAGACGGGGAUGAGCUCAGGACAGGGGUUUGUGAAGAAGUCGCAGGAACCGUAGGCUUUCGUUGGGUCUAUAGUUAACGCCGGAUCGCAGUUGGAAACCACCAGCUUUUU
rnacentral:misc_RNA from 1 species